rnacentral:lncRNA from 1 species
CUCAUGGGAAGUGCCUGGUGUCAAGAUGAAUUCCUGUGGCCUGUAGGACUGAAGUUUGUGUGGUGGGGAGUGAGGGAGUCCAGAAUGGAAGUAGGUCUCCUUUCCCAGGCCCUUUAAGGCCUGGAAAUUGCAGCUUAUCGGUCUACUCAGUGAUGACCUUCAGUCAAAGAGAUGGGAUGGGACUCAUGAGGUUGAGGUGGUGGUGCCAUCAAGGUUGGUGGUUUCUGUAAAGCACUUGAGCGCCUGUGGCCUCCGUGAAGUCUGCGGGAUUUGGAGAGAGGGCAACACCAUGGCGGCCGAGUGCUGUGCUCUGUGUGUCUUUAUGAUUCUGGGGAGAUGAGGACCGCCUGCUCAAGCCCAGCCUCUCGGCAGUGCCCAGUCUGCAUCUCAGGCGUGGAAAUUACAUAGCGCUCUUGGCCAGACAGCUGUGGAACUACCAGGCUAGGAGUGCCCCAGGCCGGCACACCUCCAGGAGCCUUCGGCCGAGUGCCUGGGGGAAGAACUCUGCAUGAGUCUCUGCUCGUUUCCUGUUGUUAAGAAGGCCCACUGAAUUUGGAGGCCUAAGCCUCGAAACAGGAUCCCCUUCCUCUCAAACCCAUUCGGCAAAAGU